AUUGAACGCUGGCGGCAUGCUUUACACAUGCAAGUCGAACGGAUUAGAGGGCUUGCUCCUCUAGUUAGUGGCGAACGGGUGAGUAAUGCAUCGGAACGUACCGUGUAGUGGGGGAUAACCCGGCGAAAGUCGGAUUAAUACCGCAUACGAUCUAAGGAUGAAAGCGGGGGAUCGCAAGACCUCGCGCUAUACGAGCGGCCGAUGUCGGAUUAGCUAGUUGGUAGGGUAAAGGCCUACCAAGGCAACGAUCCGUAGCGGGUCUGAGAGGAUGAUCCGCCACACUGGGACUGAGACACGGCCCAGACUCCUACGGGAGGCAGCAGUGGGGAAUUUUGGACAAUGGACGCAAGUCUGAUCCAGCCAUGCCGCGUGAGUGAAGAAGGCCUC
rnacentral:rRNA from 1 species